rnacentral:rRNA from 1 species
GAUAAACGCUGACAGAAUGCUUAACACAUGCAAGUCGAUGAGGAAGUUUUAGCUUGCUAAAAUGAAAUCAUGGCGGACGGGUGAGUAACGCGUAAAGAACUUACCCUUUAGACUGGGAUAACACAAGGAAACUUGUGAUAAUACUAGAUAAGUUAGAUUUAGGCAUCUAAAUCAAAUGAAAUACUAUAUGUGCUAGAGGAGAGCUUUGCGUCCUAUUAGCUAGUUGGUAAGGUAAAGGCUUACCAAGGCGACGAUAGGUAGCCGGCCUGAGAGGGUGAACGGCCACAAGGGGACUGAGAUACGGCCCUUACUCCUACGGGAGGCAGCAGUGGGGAAUAUUGGACAAUGGAGGAAACUCUGAUCCAGCAAUUCUGUGUGCACGAAGACGGUUUUCGGAUUGUAAAGUGCUUUUAGUUGGGAAGAAAAAAAUGACGGUACCAACAGAAGAAGCGACGGCUAAAUACGUGCCAGCAGCCGCGGUAAUACGUAUGUCGCGAGCGUUAUCCGGAAUUAUUGGGCUUAAAGGGCAUCUAGGCGGCAAAGCAAGUUGAAGGUGAAAAGCUGUGGCUCAACCAUAGUCUUGCCUACAAAACUGCUUAGCUAGAGUACUGGAAAGGUGGGUGGAACUACACGAGUAGAGGUGAAAUUCGUAGAUAUGUGUAGGAAUGCCGACGAUGAAGAUAACUCACUGGACAGCAACUGACGCUGAAGUGCGAAAGCUAGGGGAGCAAACAGG